rnacentral:lncRNA from 1 species
CGCUAUGACUUUGUAAAUUUUAGAAGUGUUUAUGGAAACAUGAGCUCAUGUCUUUAUUGUUUUCCCUCCUCCAUGAAGGGAUAGCAGGAAGAAGGGACCCUCUCUCUUUCAGAAGGACAAGAGCUGCCUUCUGUGGCCUAGAACGCUUCACCUAUGAGAACAUACUCUUUCAGCCACCCCCAGAAGUAGGAUUCCUGGCAGAUGGAGAAAGAGCACUUUCCUGGAAUGCAGCAAAGGGGCAGCGCUGCCUUUGGAGAAGACUUCUCCCACACCUCCGUCCCAAGCUCUGCCCUGCUGAAACGCCAGGUCCACGCAAAGAGUCCGACGGGUCUGGAGGAAGAGGCCAGCUGGACGCACCUCAAUGGAGCCUUUUGGGGAUCACAUUAGCCCCAAGUAGCCCCCGAACCAUGUGAUCUGGGGCCAAAGACACCCAUUUAGAAUACUGGGACGUGUGCUUCUUUGUUCCGCUGCAAGUCACCGGGUUUAGAAUGAGACAACUUGGAUUUCAGUCCUGGCACCACUAUUUCUAUCUAUACGAACUUAAUAACUCCCUGGGGUUCAGUGGUUUGUCUUUUACUUGUCAUAGAUCCUACUGCGUACAAGGCACUGCGCUAAGCCCUAGAAAUACAAAAGCAAAAAAAGAAACGGCCCCUGCCCCAAAGGAAAGGAAACUGCCUUCUGCUAGGCAGUGCAAUAUUUAAAUAAUACCCCAAUACAAGAUCAUUUGAGAUGAGAAGAUCGCUACAGUACCUUGCAGAUCCAACUCCUUUAAACCUAUAAAGAGUGCAUUCCAUGUGGUACAAUGGAAAGUGUACCAGAUUUAAAAUUGGAGGAUUUCCUGGAUUCUAGCCCCUGCCUUUCUAUUAAGUUCAUCAUCAUGAUUUCUCUCUUUUAGUCUCAGUUUCUCCAUCUGUGAAAUGAGGAAGUUGUACUAAAUGAUUCCUAAGAUUUCAUUUAAGC